GCUCAGGAUGAACGCUGGCGGCGUGCCUAACACAUGCAAGUCGAGCGAAGCGGUUUUAAGGAAGUUUUCGGAUGGAAUUAAGACUGACUGAGCGGCGGACGGGUGAGUAACGCGUGGGUAACCUGCCUCAUACAGGGGGAUAACAGUUAGAAAUGGCUGCUAAUACCGCAUAAGCACACAGCUUCGCAUGGAGCAGUGUGAAAAACUCCGGUGGUAUGAGAUGGACCCGCGUCUGAUUAGCUAGUUGGUAAGGUAACGGCUUACCAAGGCGACGAUCAGUAGCCGACCUGAGAGGGUGACCGGCCACAUUGGGACUGAGACACGGCCCAAACUCCUACGGGAGGCAGCAGUA
rnacentral:rRNA from 1 species